AUGAACGCUAGCUAUAGGCUUAACACAUGCAAGUCGAGGGGCAGCGAAUAGAUAGCUUGCUAUUUAUGUCGGCGACCGGCGCACGGGUGAGUAACGCGUAUCCAACCUACCCAUAACUAAGGGAUAACCCAGCGAAAGUUGGACUAAUACCUUAUGUAUUCGUUUGAUCUCAUGAGAUUACGAAUAAAGAUUUAUCGGUUAUGGAUGGGGAUGCGUCUGAUUAGCUUGUUGGCGGGGUAACGGCCCACCAAGGCAACGAUCAGUAGGGG
rnacentral:rRNA from 1 species